UUAGAAGAUACAAUGACAAAGACUCAUACGGACUUCGACUACACCAUCAAAGCUUUGAGAAGCAAGAAGCAGUUGGUUAGUGUUUUGGAGUCGAAUAUGACUUGAUGGCAUGUGUAUGAGUGAGUAUAAAAACUAGAACCGCAACGGAUCUUAAAAGCCUAAAUAUUGUAUCCUUGUUAGAAGAUACAUAGACAAAGUCUCAUACGAAAUUCGGCUAAACCAUCAAAGCUUUUAGAAGCAAGAAGAAGCUUGGUUAGUGUUUCG
rnacentral:sRNA from 1 species